UAAGCCCAGAUUAGGUAGUAACAACCAUUUGAGUCUGGGAUUUCUGAAUGGGGAAACCCACGUGCAUAAGCACGUAUCCUUACCUGAAUACAUAGGGUAAGGAGGCGAACCGGGGGAACUGAAACAUCUAAGUACCCCGAGGAAAAGAAAUCAACCGAGAUUCCGAAAGUAGCGGCGAGCGAAAUUGGACUAGCCCUUAAGCUUUACACGCGUUAGACGAACGGUCUGGAAAGUCCGACGAUACAGGGUGAUAGUCCCGUAGUUGACGACGUGUGUUCAGUGAAAUCGAGUAGGGCGGGACACGUGAUAUCCUGUCUGAAUAUGGGGGGACCAUCCUCCAAGGCUAAAUACUACUGACUGACCGAUAGUGAACCAGUACCGUGAGGGAAAGGCGAAAAGAACCCCUGUGAGGGGAGUGAAAUAGAACCUGAAACCGUGUACGUACAAGCAGUAGGAGCAGGCUU
rnacentral:rRNA from 1 species